UUUGCUUACUACAUCCUCAAAUCUUGAAACUAGUGUUUUUUCUAAUGUUGUUACAUUUGUUCUCGGGAUUUUGAGAGAUGCCAAAAUCCUUUCUAUUUCUCUAUUGUUCUCUUUUUAGGGAUUCCAUGGUGAUUAAUCUCUCUUUCAUUUUUGGUCAAUCCAGAAGAGUAUGAGGUUGUGGACAUAGAGGAACUUUCUCCUGGAUCAUCACAAAUUUGGGUCCUGUCUCCAGCAACCCAAGGAUUUUUAGAGGGAAGAAAGAGAGGGACAAACUUGCUUGGUUCAUUAUUGUUGAUAUAAUUUCUGGGGUCAGGUCAUUUAUAUAUUCUUGCCUAAGCAACCCAGACCCUGGUUCAGUCCCUUCAUAAUCAGCUGAGUCAGGUAGAAAGGAUUCUGAAUGAUCAGGUAAUUGGGCCUGAGGUAAUCCGGGGACCCUAAAGGAAAGGCCUUUUUUAUGGGCCUGUUGAGAAAGUGCUAUCAACCUCUUUUUCAUAAUUGAGGUCCGCUCGACCCAAUUCGGUUUUGCCUCCGUCUUCGCCGGAGUUUGCCCCUGUCGUCGGAGUUCUGAAUCGGAUCUUGAGGUGAACUCGGCAUACCACGACUAGACUUUUCAUAUUCGAGAAACUUACCUGUCUGGGCAUCAUAUUUCUUUAUUUUGACGCUAUGCUUAGGAGCAUUGUUGGUCGAUCUGGUGACUAGGAAUGACCGAGUGAUUUAUUUUUCUUACCUUUAUUGAAACUCACCGUUUUCCACUCAGAAUUCGGUGACUGGGUGGACUGGUUACUUGCUACGCUGGCUUGUGGAGGGGUUGCUUCUGCACUUGGGGUUGCAUGUGGGCAUCUCAAGGCAAGGUGACCCAAUCUCCCACAUGGUUUACAAAGGAUGCCCUCUCCUUCAAAGACUAUCUCUUGUUUGUGCUUUCCAAUAGUAACUGCGUUGCGCAGUGGUGUUUUCAAAGGCACCUGGACACAAAUGCCUGCAUAUCUCCCUCUCAAUGCUGAAGAAGUGCACAAGUCAACUUUGAUUAAUUUUCCUACUUUGUCCCUAUCCUUUCUAGGAUAAUCUUAUCAUAAAAUUCAGUGGGAAGCUGAGGAAGACUGAGCCAAAUCACCGUAGUCUGGAGUUUGGCCUCGAUGGGAAUAAAAUUUGGUUCCCAAAUUCUUACUGAGAGGAAAGAUCCGACAAUGAACCAUUACCCUCGUGCAGGGCUUUUUGUUGGCUAUCCUCCUUAUCGAAUUUAACCGGAUAAAAAUCAAACCCAAGAUCAAUUAGAGUGAUGGUUUCCUGGAAUUUUCAUAGCUCCGUUAGCUCGGUUCGGAGAAACUGGUGGUUGAAUUUUUGCCCAAACACCUUCACUAUUACAAAGAAUUUCCAAGGUCAUAAAGCCUCAAUUGAUCCGCCUCCGUUAGACUAAUUUCAGCACUUUGGGGACUUAAGGUAUUUUCAAUAACUUCAAUAAAAGGAUCCGAGUAGGAAACUGACUUAGAGUUGGGCAUCCUUUACUACAUCCUUGUGGGAAAGCUGACAUGAAUCGACGAUGGCCAUGUGGCAAUCUUGUUUGUCUGGUGGCUCCGAUGGAGUAGCAGGGUGUGCGUCCUCAGCAGUCAUGGCAGGGUUAACUUUGCUACUAUCUGUAUUCUAAGGGAAUUUUCUAGAUAGAGAGAGGGUCUUUCUCUCACUCUAAGUUUUCCUUAAAUCUAAUACAUUAUGGAAUAUUAUCUCAUAAUGAUGACAGUAUCUUGUGAUAUUA